GUGCCAGCAGCCGCGGUAAUACGUAGGGUGCGAGCGUUGUCCGGAAUUAUUGGGCGUAAAGAGCUCGUAGGCGGUUUGUCGCGUCGACUGUGAAAACCUACAGCUUAACUGUGGGCUUGCAGUCGAUACGGGCAGACUUGAGUUCGGUAGGGGAGACUGGAAUUCCUGGUGUAGCGGUGAAAUGCGCAGAUAUCAGGAGGAACACCGGUGGCGAAGGCGGGUCUCUGGGCCGAUACUGACGCUGAGGAGCGAAAGCGUGGGGAGCGAACAGGAUUAGAUACCCUGGUAGUCCACGCCGUAAACGGUGGGAACUAGGUGUGGGGGGCUUCCACGCCCUCCGUGCCGUAGCUAACGCAUUAAGUUCCCCGCCUGGGGAGUACGGCCGCAAGGCUAAAACUCAAAGAAAUUGACGGGA
rnacentral:rRNA from 1 species